CGUCGAUUUUUGUAAGAACCAACAUUGUGUUUUUCCUUUUAUUGAAUAUGUCUCUCUGUCUUCUCUGACCCACUCACUCUCACUCUCACUCUCAUUUCAGUGUCGCUCUCACUCUCUUGCUCUCCGCAACGGUUCAACUCCUCACUCUCACUCUCCUCACUAUCUUAUUGUAUGUAUUUCGAUGCAGCACUGUCAGGAUUCGAGGCCACGCAAAUUCGUCGCGAUGGUUCUUGCCGGGAUUCGAAGCCAUGAUGUCAUCGUUUUCAUUUCCGGAGCUGGACUAUGAGAUCCGGCAGCUGGACCACACCACUGGGAAUAGAGCUCACACUGACGGUGAGGUUCCAGAGCUUCUUUUAUUUUCCUCGUUUCCUCUCUUCCCAACAACAAAGCAUGAGUGUUCACUGGCAGAAGAAAAUGGGGAUAGAGUCACAAAUUCCCCGAAGCUUAAUCCGAAGAAUCUACGCUCCCUUGGACAAUGAAUUUCAUUUUGCAGUGCCAAUCUCCUCCUCCAGAACAAAUGAAUGUGAACUCGUGGAAGGUGUUCUAUGAAUGCUGCAAGGGUUUUCUAGUCCCCUAUUCUUUGGGAUCAAAAUGUAAACAACUUCCAUGCAAAGAACAGAGUGUAUGUUAGUCAUUUCUCCAAGAAAAGGCUUCACUAUCGGCUCAAUCAAUUUAUCCAUGCAGCCACAUGUCUCCCAUUGGUGGCAAUUACACUUGAUAAAGUCGAUCGAAACCGCAGUGCCAAAAUCUCCUCCUACUUUGAACGCAUUUGCGUGCUUUGCUUUAGCGUGCCUCAAGGGGUUGCAAAAUAUUGCCUUGAAGGAGGAAGCGUCCACGAGCAAUGUAGAUGGUGUAACCACCCCAACCUUGUUAGGAUUGGCUAAUUCCUUAUCGAGGUUUCUGCUUACUUUAACAAUUUUCUCCUGCACAAUUCCUGUGUAUUUAUGCUUGGUUUAGACUUUGAUUUGGUUUCAUUUAGCUAUUUAUAGUGCCUUUAGGAUGUUUGCUGAUUCCAAUUCUAUGAUAAUAGCUAGGUGAAACCUUUUUUUAUUUAUUUAUGUUGAUGAUUAGGGUCAUAUUUGGUUGGUUAUUUUCAAAGCAUUUCAAACAAUUAUUUCAUCUCUGAACUUUGAAUCUAUGUAUCAAUUAAUAGAUGUAGAAAAAUAAAAAAAUUGACACCAUUAAUUCAAAUGUAUGAGCUUUUUAUAAGAUCUGAGUUUUACUUUUUAGUUUUUACCACAUCGAGAUGCUCAUCCUUUUUCAUACUUUUACUUUCUUAUUCACAUUUAGAUCCUUCAUUUUUGCAAGACAACUAAAGAUGAGUGGAUUAUAUUUGCUUGGGAUGGUACUAACACCACCAAAUGUCAUAUGUUCAAAGUGAGUUGAUACGAAUUUACUUUUACAUGUUUGGGUAAAAUUGUGAUGAUGCUUGUUACUGGAAAUUUCUCAUAACUAAAAUAAUGGCGUUUUCUAGUACUCUUUGUAUAUGAUAUGAUAUCUUUUCGAUGGCAAGUUGCUGGAUAUAGGCUUAAAAAUUAUAUAGUUGGAGUUUUAUAGUUUUCUAUAUAGGAACAUAUUUUUCCUUCUCUAAUUGUGCAAUUUAUCUUCUCGAAUUAUCUCAUGCCCUUUCUUUUUUUGUACUGAAUUGUGGGCAAUGGAGUUUUGACUAGUGAUUUAGUGGUAAUGGCAUGCCAAGAACUAUAAAGUUAUUGAUUGGAUAGUAUUUUUAUUGAUAUUAUAAAAAACAUCACUUGGGUAGCAUUAGGAAAACAAAUUAAAAUAAGAUGAAGCAUAACUUAUGCAUAAUGGUAUUAAGACUACAUAGGUUAAACAUCUCAAUUUUUAUUCCACUAAAAAAGGGGGAAUAGAACAUUAUUAUUCCAUUAUGUUUGUGCGCCAAAUGCUACCUUUGAUUGGAGUCAUGUUUAUUUCACUUAAUUAGGUUUCACAAUAUAUGUUUUGUGUAUAAAUUAUAAUAUUUUAGUUUUAAUUUAUGAGUUUCUUAAUAGAAAUUUGGUUUGAUUGUUCCCAUUUAUUGUUUAAUAGGUCCAAUAUGAAUUUCCAAUUUGGUUGGCACUGUGAAAUGUUUUCUUAUUUUGUUUGCUGAUUUUUCUUUAAUAUUUAUUUUAUAACUUUUUGUUCUUCAAUUUCAUUAUUUGACAUUCUUGAUCAAUUGUAAU